rnacentral:misc_RNA from 1 species
GAAAUGCGAUAAGUAAUGUGAAUUGCAGAAUUCAGUGAAUCAUCGAAUCUUUGAACGCACCUUGCGCUCCUUGGUAUUCCUUGGAGCAUGCCUGUUUGAGUAUCAUGAAAUCUUCAAAGUAAAUCUUUUGUUAACUCAAUUGGUUUCUACUUUGGUAUUGGAGGUCUUUGCAGCUUCACACCUGCUCCUCUUUGUUCAUUAGCUGGAUCUCAGUGUUAUGCAUGGUUCCACUCGGCGUGAUAAGUUAUCUAUCGCUGAGGACACUGUAAAAGGUGGCCAAGGUAAAUGCAGAUGAACCGCUUCUAAUAGUCCAUUGACUUGGACAAUACUUUUAUGAUCUGAUCUCAAAUCAGGUAGGACUACCCGCUGAACUUAAGC